rnacentral:rRNA from 1 species
GACGAACGCUGGCGGUAUGCUUAACACAUGCAAGUCGAACGAGAAGUUUUUUAUUGACCCUUCGGGGGAUAUAAGAGACAGACAGUGGCGAACGGGUGAGUAACGCGUGGGCAACCUACCUAUCGGAGCGGGAUAGCCUCGAGAAAUCGGGAGUAAAACCGCAUAACACAGCAGAAUCGCAUGACUUUGCUGUCAAAACUCCGGUGCCGAUAGAUGGGCCCGCGUCUGAUUAGCUAGUGGUAAGGUAAGGGCUUACCAAGGCAACGAUCAGUAGCCGGUCUGAGAGGGCGAACGGCCACACUGGAACUGAGACACGGUCCAGACUCCUACGGGAGGCA